UUAAUUCUUGUAAUUAUAAAAGUUAGGUGAGGAAGAAGAAGAAGAAGAAGAAGGAAGACGACACAGACAGUAAUGUAAGCUUUCACUCUCUGGGGUAGUCCACUGUAGAAGACUGUUAGCUGUCAACAGUGUAAGCUUUUUCUGGAGUUCUUCCUUCACUGAAGAUGCCGGAAGGAAUUUUGAACUCUUGGUUACUACCUCAAGCAAGCAUCACACCAUGAAAUUAUCAAAACAUGGCGUGGGAGCGGCACUUGCAGAAUGAACUUGCCCUAAAAGUUAACUCUUUUUCCUAGGAAACAAACAUAAAAUCUCAGAACAUGUAUGGGAACUGAUCUCCAUUGUGAUAUAAGACAGAUGAAGCCGGCCCUGGCUAUUCCCCAUAUGUUGAGAAAACUCAAUCUUAAAAACUAGAAUUAAAGCCUAGAAUAAUAUUUUUUUUCAUUGGUUCUUUAAUUGACUUUUAUUUUUCG